rnacentral:ncRNA from 1 species
GAAAGGUUUAAUCCUAGCCUUAGGGUUGAGGCAUAGGUGGUCCACAUGGAAUUUUAAGAGAGAGAUGAAUAAAGUAAAAAUUUUAAUAUUAGUUAUUAAGUCCCAGUGGUUAAAUUUGGGAAAUAAGCUAACCUUGAGCCAGUACUAUACCGAUAGAUUCAGUGCCAGCUGUCGCGGUUAGACUGAAGGUUUACAACUUAAAUUAAAGAAGAGGAAUAGAAUUGCUAAUCUGAGGGGCAGUAGUAAAAUAUUUACCUCUCUGGAUUCAUUAGUUACCCUCUAGAGACUAAGGAAUAAACAAGGAUUAGAUACCCUUCUAUUCUUAGGUAGAAAUUUCUUAAGGUAGUAGUUGGUAGGGUCUUGAAACCUAAAGGAUAUGGCGGUUUUUAAUAAAAUCAGAGGAAUCUGCCCUAUAAGCGAUACCCCCCGAUAAAUCUUACCUUUUUAGGUUUGUAUACCGUUGUCUAAACUUCUUAAAAAGAAGAAGUUAAGAUCAGUAAUCAGUAAGUCAGAUCCAGGCGCAGCUUUAAAAGGUAGAGGUGGGUUACAAUUUGUCAAAAUUGGAGAUAGAUUUUAAUAUUUUAACUAAAUAGGAUUUGAAAGUAAUUUUAGUUUAAUACGCUAAGAUGAGUAGCAACUUAAAUAUGUACAUAUCGCCCGUCACUCUCUAUCUCAGAGAUAAGUCGUAACAAAGUAGAUGUACCGGAAGGUGCCUCUUUAACCCA